rnacentral:rRNA from 1 species
CACGGCGCACGGGUGAGUAACGCGUGGGAACCUGCCCUUGGAUGGGGGAUAACCCCGCGAAAGCGGGGCUAAUACCGCAUGACAUUCCGGAGACUCCGGUUUUUGGAUUCAAAGCCGCAAGGCGUCCAAGGAGGGGCCCGCGCCCGAUUAGCUAGUUGGUGAGGUAACGGCUCACCAAGGCCAUGAUCGGUAGCCGGUCUGAGAGGAUGGCCGGCCACACUGGAACUGAGACACGGUCCAGACUCCUACGGGAGGCAGCAGUGGGGAAUAUUGCGCAAUGGGCGAAAGCCUGACGCAGCGACGCCGCGUGGGGGAUGAAGCCUUUCGGGGUGUAAACCCCUUUCGACCCGGACGAACGGCCCGCAAGGGCGUGACGGUACGGGUAUAAGAAGCCCCGGCUAACUACGUGCCAGCAGCCGCGGUAAUACGUAGGGGGCCAGCGUUGCUCGGAAUUACUGGGCGUAAAGGGUUCGUAGGCGGUGCGGCAAGUUGGGAGUGAAAUCUUUGGGCUUAACCCAGAGGCUGCUUCCGAAACUGCUGUGCUCGAGUGUGGGAGAGGCGCGUGGAAUUGCAGGUGUAGCGGUGAAAUGCGUAGAUAUCUGCAGGAACACCCGUGGCGAAAGCGGCGCGCUGGACCACUACUGACGCUGAGGAACGAAAGCUAGGGGAGCAAACAGGAUUAGAUACCCUGGUAGUCCUAGCCCUAAACGAUCAGGACUUGGGGUGCCACCCGUUCGGGUGUCGUCCCGGAGCUAACGCGUUAAGUCCUGCACCUGGGGAGUACGGUCGCAAGACUGAAACUCAAAGGAAUUGACGGGGGCCCGCACAAGCGGUGGAACAUGUGGUUCAAUUCGA